rnacentral:rRNA from 1 species
CCGGAGGGGCGUCCCGAAGCCCUUUUGGCCCGCGCCCCCCGAUAGCCCCCAAUCAUNNAACUCGUGAGCUAUUGCUGUNUAAAUUACCUAAGAAACAAAUUAUCUAAAAAACUUUCAACAACGGAUCUCUUGGUUCUGGCAUCGAUGAAGGACGCAGCGAAAUGCGAUAAGUAAUGCGAAUUGCAGAAUCCGUGAGUCAUCGAAUCUUUGAACGCACAUUGCGCCCUCUGGUACUCCAGAGGGCAUGCCUGUUCGAGCGUCAUUAUCACCCCUCAAGCCCCGCGGCUUGGUGUUGGGCUCAGGCCCGCGGACACACCGCGGGCGGUCCCAAAGAUAAUGACGGGCGUCGAGGAGGACCCCAGUACACGGAGCUUUCGGGCACGUACUCGGUUUUGGACCCCCUCAACGGCCGGUCUUUGCCGCACAAGGUGCCCUUGUGCGGACCUUUUUUUUUCAAGAGUUGACCUCGGAUCAGGUAGGGAUACCCGCUGAACUUAAGCAUAUCAAUAAGCGGAGGA